rnacentral:lncRNA from 1 species
UAUCGACGGCGAGGCCGUACUUCCUCAACAAGUUUCCGUAACCGCCGCCGCUGAUGUGUCCACCAACACCGACAGUGGGGCAAAUCCCAGCGGCAUACCCGAGCGUUUUACUCUUCUCGGAGAUUCGGUAGUACAACUCUCCGAGAGUCGCGCCGGCCUGGGCCCACGCGGUGGCGUCCUCGGCGUUGACGUCGAUUGACCGGAGGUUGAACAGGUCGAGGACUACGAAAGUCUUUUCGGACGAGACAUAUGAGAUGCCCUCGUAGUCGUGUCCGCCGCUUCGGAUUUUUAGUUGGAGUUUGAGUUGUACGGCGCAGAGGACGGAGGCCUGGACGUGGGACUCGGUCGUCGGCGUGAGGAUGAGGACUGGUUUGGGAGUCGUGGAGGUGUUGAAGCGAGCGUUGCGG